CUCCCCGUCAGAUUGUUCCGUAACGGAGACUGACCCUUUAACCGCCAUCAUACCACAGGUACGUACUCAGUAUAGGCACUUGUCAGUGUGCAUAUUUAAUAACGUCAAGUGUUCGUUGUUGUAAUUCAGGUGUUCAGCGUCCAAAACGCUACAGUCUCGUGCACGUCACCCACAACCUUGUUGUCCAGAAGUACGGAAGAGCCGUUGCUACGAUCAAAAGUUUCAGCAACUGUUAACAAUAUACCUUUGUAGCAAUAUGAACCCUGACAACCAUGUAUGUAAAUUUUACCUGCAAAAAUCUUGUCGGUUUGGAGAUAAAUGUUGGAAUAGACAUGAAAAGCCAUCAUAUUCAAGCAGUAAACAUCAACAAUUACAUCAAAAUGUUCAGCAGACAUUGACUAUCAAGUACAUUUUUCACAAAAUUAA